GACAGAGGGUGCAAACGUUGCUCGGAAUCACUGGGCGUAAAGGGCGUGUAGGCGGGAAGGAAAGUCGGGCGUGAAAUCCCUGGGCUCACCCAGGAACUGCACUCGAAACUUCUUUUCUUGAGUGCCGGAGAGGAAAGCGGAAUUCCUGGUGUAGAGGUGAAAUUCGUAGAUAUCAGGAGGAACACCAGUGGCGAAGGCGGCUUUCUGGACGGUAACUGACGCUGGAGACGCGAAAGCGUGGGGAGCAAACAGG
rnacentral:rRNA from 1 species